rnacentral:rRNA from 1 species
UGGGGAAUAUUGCACAAUGGGGGAAACCCUGAUGCAGCGACGCCGCGUGAACGAAGAAGGUAUUCGUAUCGUAAAGUUCUGUCCUAUGGGAAGAUAAUGACAGUACCAUAGAAGAAAGCUCCGGCUAAAUACGUGCCAGCAGCCGCGGUAAUACGUAUGGAGCGAGCGUUGUCCGGAAUUAUUGGGCGUAAAGGGUACGCAGGCGGUUUAAUAAGUCGAAUGUUAAAGAUCGGGGCUCAACCCCGUAAAGCAUUGGAAACUGAUAAACUUGAGUAGUAGAGAGGAAAGUGGAAUUCCUAGUGUAGUGGUGAAUUACAUAGAUAUUAGGAUGAAUACCAGUAGCGAAGGCGACUUUCUGGACACAAACUAACGCUGAGAUACGAAAGCGUGGGGAGCAAACAGG